CACGAACUUGAAAUUCCUCCUUCCAAAAGAGUGCAAGACCGCCACUAUGACCAACAUUAUCAACUGUAAAACAACUAUCAAACUCCAAAAACUGUUUAAGACCCUCUAUUUUACUACUGUCUACAAAAGUUUCAGAUAAGAACACUACAUCCGGCCUGUUGGCAACUACCAACUCCUUCGGCACCUGAAUUGAUCGAGGUUGGCCCAAUCCUCAAUAAUUCCAUGCCAAUACGAUGAUAUCGAUUUCAUGUUUUCUAUGUCACUGAGUCUUCCCAUCGUGUGCAUCUCUAUGCCAUCCUCCUCUGAGACCUCCAGCUCGCCUUCCGUGCGAUGACGCUUCUGCUUCAAACCAAUUUCCAUCAGAUCUUCCUCCCUAUUUAUCGCUCCCGCAAUAUCAGCUAUGCCCGGCGGGUUGAACUGCCCUUGACCUUGCUGUGUUUCCCAUCGGCUGGUUUGUAUGUUCCUCAACCAGCCACCUCGAUCCUCUUUCUGUAUCUUCCACUUUUUAGAAACCAUCCUUCUUUUGCAAAAAAUUUGUGAAGAAAAAGAUUCAGUCGAG
rnacentral:lncRNA from 1 species